UACGUAGGGGGCAAGCGUUGUCCGGAUUUAUUGGGCGUAAAGCGCUCGCAGGCGGCCCGACGCGUCGUGUGUGAAACACCCCGGCUCAACUGGGGAGGGUCGUGCGAUACGGUCGGGCUUGAGGCCAGUAGGGGGAUGCGGAAUUCCGGGUGUAGUGGUGGAAUGCGUAGAUAUCGUAAGGAAGACCAGUGGCGAAGGCGGGUCUCUAGACAGUUCCUGACGCUGAGGCACGAAGGUCAGGGGAGCAAACGGG
rnacentral:rRNA from 1 species